CCUACGGGAGGCAGCAGUGAGGAAUAUUGGUCAAUGGCCGUAAGGCUGAACCAGCCACGCCGCGUGAAGGAAGAAGGAUCUAUGGUUUGUAAACUUCUUUUAUAGGGGAAUAAAGGUAUCCACGUGUGGAUUUUUGCACGUACCCUAUGUAUUAGCAUCGGCUAACUCCGUGCCAGCAGCCGCGGUAAUACGAAGGAUGCGAGCGUUAUCCGGAUUUAUUGGGUUUAAAGGGUGCGUAGGUUGUUUUUUAAGUCAGCGGUUAAAGUUUAUGGCUCAACCAUAAAAGUGCCGUUGAAACUGGAAGACUUGAGUGUGUUUGAGGUAGGCGGAAUGCGUGGUGUAGCGGUGAAAUGCAUAGAUAUCACGCAGAACACCGAUGGCGAAGGCAGCUUACUAAGCCAUAACUGACACUGAGGCACGAAAGCGUGGGGAUCAAACAGGAGUAGAUACCCCUGUAGUC
rnacentral:rRNA from 1 species